GGGUGCGGUGCUUACCAUGCAAGUCGAACGAUGAAGCCCAGCUUGCUGGGUGGAUUAGUGGCGAACGGGUGAGUAACACGUGAGUAACCUGCCCUUAACUCUGGGAUAAGCCUGGGAAACUGGGUCUAAUACCGGAUAGGAGCGCCUACCGCAUGGUGGGUGUUGGAAAGAUUUAUCGGUUUUGGAUGGACUCGCGGCCUAUCAGCUUGUUGGUGAGGUAAUGGCUCACCAAGGCGACGACGGGUAGCCGGCCUGAGAGGGUGACCGGCCACACUGGGACUGAGACACGGCCCAGACUCCUACGGGAGGCAGCAGUGGGGAAUAUUGCACAAUGGGCGAAAGCCUGAUGCAGCGACGCCGCGUGAGGGAUGACGGCCUUCGGGUUGUAAACCUCUUUCAGUAGGGAAGAAGCGAAAGUGACGGUACCUGCAGAAGAAGCACCGGCUAACUACGUGCCAGCAGCCGCGGUAAUACGUAGGGUGCGAGCGUUAUCCGGAAUUAUUGGGCGUAAAGAGCUCGUAGGCGGUUUGUCGCGUCUGUCGUGAAAGUCCGGGGCUUAACCCCGGAUCUGCGGUGGGUACGGGCAGACUAGAGUGCAGUAGGGGAGACUGGAAUUCCUGGUGUAGCGGUGGAAUGCGCAGAUAUCAGGAGGAACACCGAUGGCGAAGGCAGGUCUCUGGGCUGUAACUGACGCUGAGGAGCGAAAGCAUGGGGAGCGAACAGGAUUAGAUACCCUGGUAGUCCAUGCCGUAAACGUUGGGCACUAGGUGUGGGGACCAUUCCACGGUUUCCGCGCCGCAGCUAACGCAUUAAGUGCCCCGCCUGGGGAGUACGGCCGCAAGGCUAAAACUCAAAGGAAUUGACGGGGGCCCGCACAAGCGGCGGAGCAUGCGGAUUAAUUCGAUGCAACGCGAAGAACCUUACCAAGGCUUGACAUGUUCUCGAUCGCCGUAGAGAUACGGUUUCCCCUUUGGGGCGGGUUCACAGGUGGUGCAUGGUUGUCGUCAGCUCGUGUCGUGAGAUGUUGGGUUAAGUCCCGCAACGAGCGCAACCCUCGUUCCAUGUUGCCAGCACGUCGUGGUGGGGACUCAUGGGAGACUGCCGGGGUCAACUCGGAGGAAGGUGAGGACGACGUCAAAUCAUCAUGCCCCUUAUGUCUUGGGCUUCACGCAUGCUACAAUGGCCGGUACAAUGGGUUGCGAUACUGUGAGGUGGAGCUAAUCCCAAAAAGCCGGUCUCAGUUCGGAUUGGGGUCUGCAACUCGACCCCAUGAAGUCGGAGUCGCUAGUAAUCGCAGAUCAGCAACGCUGCGGUGAAUACGUUCCCGGGCCUUGUACACACCGCCCGUCAAGUCACGAAAGUUCUGGUAACACCCGAAGCCGGUGGCCUAACCCUUGUGGGGGGAGCCGUCGAAGGUGACCAGG
rnacentral:rRNA from 1 species